UGAGGAAUAUCGGACAAUGGGCGCAAGCCUGAUCCAGCCAUGCCGCGUGCAGGAUGAAGCAUCUAUGGUGUGUAAACUGCUUUUGUACGGGAAGAAACCCCGCCACGUGUGGCGGACUGACGGUACCGUAAGAAUAAGGAUCGGCUAACUCCGUGCCAGCAGCCGCGGUAAUACGGAGGAUCCAAGCGUUAUCCGGAAUCAUUGGGUUUAAAGGGUCCGUAGGCGGGCCUGUAAGUCAGUGGUGAAAUCUCCCGGCUCAACCGGGAAAUGGCCAUUGAUACUGCAGGCCUUGAAUUAUUAGGAAGUAACUAGAAUAUGUAGUGUAGCGGUGAAAUGCUUAGAUAUUACAUGGAAUACCGAUUGCGAAGGCAGGUUACUACUAAUGGAUUGACGCUGAUGGACGAAAGCGUGGGUAGCGAACAG
rnacentral:rRNA from 1 species